UUAAGCGACUAAGCGUACACGGUGGAUGCCCUGGCAGUCAGAGGCGAUGAAGGACGUGCUAAUCUGCGAUAAGCGUCGGUGAGGUGAUAUGAACCGUUAUAACCGGCGAUUUCCGAAUGGGGAAACCCAGUGUGUUUCGACACACUAUCAUUAACUGAAUCCAUAGGUUAAUGAGGCGAACCGGGGGAACUGAAACAUCUAAGUACCCCGAGGAAAAGAAAUCAACCGAGAUUCCCCCAGUAGCGGCGAGCGAACGGGGAGGAGCCCAGAGCCUGAAUCAGUGUGUGUGUUAGUGGAAGCGUCUGGAAAGGCGUGCGAUACAGGGUGACAGCCCCGUACACAAAAAUGCACAUAUUGUGAGCUCGAUGAGUAGGGCGGGACACGUGGUAUCCUGUCUGAAUAUGGGGGGACCAUCCUCCAAGGCUAAAUACUCCUGACUGACCGAUAGUGAACCAGUACCGUGAGGGAAAGGCGAAAAGAACCCCGGCGAGGGGAGUGAAAAAGAACCUGAAACCGUGUACGUACAAGCAGUGGGAGCCUCUUAAUGGGGUGACUGCGUACCUUUUGUAUAAUGGGUCAGCGACUUAUAUUCUGUAGCAAGGUUAACCGAAUAGGGGAGCCGAAGGGAAACCGAGUCUUAACUGGGCGUUAAGUUGCAGGGUAUAGACCCGAAACCCGGUGAUCUAGCCAUGGGCAGGUUGAAGGUUGGGUAACACUAACUGGAGGACCGAACCGACUAAUGUUGAAAAAUUAGCGGAUGACUUGUGGCUGGGGGUGAAAGGCCAAUCAAACCGGGAGAUAGCUGGUUCUCCCCGAAAGCUAUUUAGGUAGCGCCUCGUGAAUUCAUCUCCGGGGGUAGAGCACUGUUUCGGCAAGGGGGUCAUCCCGACUUACCAACCCGAUGCAAACUGCGAAUACCGGAGAAUGUUAUCACGGGAGACACACGGCGGGUGCUAACGUCCGUCGUGAAGAGGGAAACAACCCAGACCGCCAGCUAAGGUCCCAAAGUCAUGGUUAAGUGGGAAACGAUGUGGGAAGGCCCAGACAGCCAGGAUGUUGGCUUAGAAGCAGCCAUCAUUUAAAGAAAGCGUAAUAGCUCACUGGUCGAGUCGGCCUGCGCGGAAGAUGUAACGGGGCUAAACCAUGCACCGAAGCUGCGGCAGCGACACUAUGUGUUGUUGGGUAGGGGAGCGUUCUGUAAGCCUGUGAAGGUGGCCUGUGAGGGUUGCUGGAGGUAUCAGAAGUGCGAAUGCUGACAUAAGUAACGAUAAAGCGGGUGAAAAGCCCGCUCGCCGGAAGACCAAGGGUUCCUGUCCAACGUUAAUCGGGGCAGGGUGAGUCGACCCCUAAGGCGAGGCCGAAAGGCGUAGUCGAUGGGAAACAGGUUAAUAUUCCUGUACUUGGUGUUACUGCGAAGGGGGGACGGAGAAGGCUAUGUUGGCCGGGCGACGGUUGUCCCGGUUUAAGCGUGUAGGCUGGUUUUCCAGGCAAAUCCGGAAAACCAAGGCUGAGGCGUGAUGACGAGGCACUACGGUGCUGAAGCGACAAAUGCCCUGCUUCCAGGAAAAGCCUCUAAGCAUCAGGUAACAUCAAAUCGUACCCCAAACCGACACAGGUGGUCAGGUAGAGAAUACCAAGGCGCUUGAGAGAACUCGGGUGAAGGAACUAGGCAAAAUGGUGCCGUAACUUCGGGAGAAGGCACGCUGAUAUGUAGGUGAAGCGACUUGCUCGUGGAGCUGAAAUCAGUCGAAGAUACCAGCUGGCUGCAACUGUUUAUUAAAAACACAGCACUGUGCAAACACGAAAGUGGACGUAUACGGUGUGACGCCUGCCCGGUGCCGGAAGGUUAAUUGAUGGGGUUAGCGGUAACGCGAAGCUCUUGAUCGAAGCCCCGGUAAACGGCGGCCGUAACUAUAACGGUCCUAAGGUAGCGAAAUUCCUUGUCGGGUAAGUUCCGACCUGCACGAAUGGCGUAAUGAUGGCCAGGCUGUCUCCACCCGAGACUCAGUGAAAUUGAACUCGCUGUGAAGAUGCAGUGUACCCGCGGCAAGACGGAAAGACCCCGUGAACCUUUACUAUAGCUUGACACUGAACAUUGAGCCUUGAUGUGUAGGAUAGGUGGGAGGCUUUGAAGUGUGGACGCCAGUCUGCAUGGAGCCGACCUUGAAAUACCACCCUUUAAUGUUUGAUGUUCUAACGUUGGCCCGUAAUCCGGGUUGCGGACAGUGUCUGGUGGGUAGUUUGACUGGGGCGGUCUCCUCCUAAAGAGUAACGGAGGAGCACGAAGGUUGGCUAAUCCUGGUCGGACAUCAGGAGGUUAGUGCAAUGGCAUAAGCCAGCUUGACUGCGAGCGUGACGGCGCGAGCAGGUGCGAAAGCAGGUCAUAGUGAUCCGGUGGUUCUGAAUGGAAGGGCCAUCGCUCAACGGAUAAAAGGUACUCCGGGGAUAACAGGCUGAUACCGCCCAAGAGUUCAUAUCGACGGCGGUGUUUGGCACCUCGAUGUCGGCUCAUCACAUCCUGGGGCUGAAGUAGGUCCCAAGGGUAUGGCUGUUCGCCAUUUAAAGUGGUACGCGAGCUGGGUUUAGAACGUCGUGAGACAGUUCGGUCCCUAUCUGCCGUGGGCGCUGGAGAACUGAGGGGGGCUGCUCCUAGUACGAGAGGACCGGAGUGGACGCAUCACUGG
rnacentral:rRNA from 1 species